AUCUUUUGAAUUGUUGAAUGCUCAGACACUUAUUUGGGUUCUUAUGAUUUAGAUUCUUGAAUAGGAAGAUCUGAUGC
rnacentral:ncRNA from 13 species